GGGUGAUUAGCUCAGCUGGGAGAGCACCUCCCUUACAAGGAGGGGGUCGGCGGUUCGAGCACGUCAUCACCCACCA
rnacentral:tRNA from 1 species